rnacentral:tRNA from 1 species
AAUAAAGUGCCUGACUAAAGGGCUAUCUUGAUAGGAUAGAUCAAGCAAAAAAUUGCCUUUAUUA